CAUUCUGUGCAUUCGUGAGGAUAUGUACAUCAUAGAUCUUGAGGAUGAGACAAUAGAUGCAGAGAUAUUGAACUUGAUGGCUGUUACAAAUGACCAUUUCAAGACUGCGCUUGGAACAAGCAACCCAUCUGCUCUCCAUGAAACUGUUGUUGAAGUCCCAAAUGUCUCUUGGGAGGAUAUUGGUGGGCUGGAGAAUGUCAAGAGAGAGCUCCAGGAGGUAAUUAGAUGCUCCUCAUGUAGCUGCUCUAAUGUAGCUGAGAUAUUUGGUAACGUGAGAUGUUAGGUAGCUGGAAUGCCACCUCGGGGACGGCGCCGGUGGCAGGCCGGGCACACGGGUGCACGGGGCGCCGCUGGGUGCCCUGGUGCUGGUCUCCAAGGAUCUGGACAACAUCCGCGAGAUCGCGCUGCGUGAGUACACCGAGCUGGAUCCAGUCUAUCUGUAUUUAUUUUAAGCUUCUAACGGCCUUCCAU